GUCAUGUGAUGCACCAUCCUGGAGCAAACAGCUUUGGGCAGGAGCCCAACUGCAAACUCUUUUCUCUCUUCCCCCACAAAUUGAAAUUAGUAAAUGUUUCCAUCAGGCAUUUCAGCGGUGACCUCAGGUUUAGAGCUCAGUGUGCCAUACAAAGCCCACGGGCACACCAGCCCAGGCAACACAUGCUACAUGCUGCCGAGAGGACAGCCCGCGUGGGACAGGGCACCUGGGAUAGCUGAGCACACUCCUGUACGCCGCAGAGCCACGACGGCUGCAGUGAGAUGGGAUGGCUGCAGGAAGAAAUGGAUACAUGCAUGAGCACGGACGGAAAAGGCUGGCAGAGUGUUGCAGAACUUCAGCAAGUACAAAUGUAAUGGUCUUCAGCGGAUAUCUGGGGGAACCAAGGAAGAUCUUUAUCUUGGUCUUAUAUUGAUCUUGAUUUUUGUCCACCUGGAAGAAAGGAACUCCCAGCGUGCCACUAGCAGAAGCCACAUACCUCAAAUUAUCAACUGUGAGAUAAAGAAAGAAACUGAGGAGGAUAAAGAGAUAUGAGGUCCCAACCUUAACAUGCUACAUCUGUAUCUUCUGUCUCAAGAAGUUGCUUUCUUUUCAUCAAACACAUUCCAGAAGUCAACAGUAAAAGCACUGACAAGAGACAGCAGAUUGAUCCAUUAACUCUCACUCACUGCUAACAGUUCCUUGGCUGAAACCGGACCCUGCAUUCCACUUGGGAAGGUUUGGUCUGGAUUGGCAAUUUGGUCUGAGUUUCCAGAUCAUUUUGACCUUCUGGCAUGACCAUUAAGAAAUCAUUCCACUGCCAGAUCCAUCUCUGCCUCUAUGGAGAGAUGUCCUGCACAUUCAGACUGCAAGUCCUUCAGGAACUAGUGCUAGUUUUGCUGCCUGUCUGCACAGCCAUGAGAGCAAUGGGACCUGAGAUCCUGCAGAGGAUGCUAGGGGUCCUGGAACCAGACACUGAAAAAUCACUGCACUUCUAUCUGACGUGAAGAAAAAUGCCACCAGCUGCAGCUGAGUUAUGUGUGAGCAUAACUAAUGUGAAAUAAUAAUAAAGGCUGUAAGUACCUAAGUCUGCAACCAUGCUCUAGCACAGCUACAGCAUCUGCAAAUUCAGAUCUACAGAUGCAGGUAUGUACCUUAUCUGUACACAGAAGUGCAAUAAUAAGUAACAGAAAGGUACGAGCAAUUUGGACUUUCCUGUUUUUAGGGACUACACUGGAAGGGUCUCUGAAAGCUAGACCCUUUGAGGAAGUCUCAAGUCCCAGACAGAGUGCUUCAAAUUGCAAGCCACUUCUCACAGUCUUUGCCUAAAUUUGCAAAAGUCAAGACAAGGCUACAGCUGAGAGAAAAAAGCUUCCCUAUCAUCUGACCUGAUUAUUCAGACACAUUUUCAAAAUUAAAAUUAUGAAAAAAUUAAGUCCAA